UGCAAAUCUCUUGGUCCUUGGUCUC
rnacentral:piRNA from 1 species